rnacentral:misc_RNA from 1 species
GAUGAAGAACGCAGCGAAAUGCGAUAAGUAAUGUGAAUUGCAGAAUUCAGUGAAUCAUCGAAUCUUUGAACGCACCUUGCGCUCCUUGGUAUUCCGAGGAGCAUGCCUGUUUGAGUGUCAUUUAAUUCUCAACCCCUUCCAGCUUUGUCUGGCUUUGGUGGCUUGGACGUGGGUGGAUUGCCGGGCUCCUUCAGAGGUCGGCUCACCUGAAAUGCAUUAGUAGAACCGUUUGCGGGUCUGCCAACUGGUGUGAUAACUAUCUAUGCCAAAGGCACCUGCUCUCCUUAAGUUCUGCUUCUAACUGUCCUUUACCUCGGACAACAAUGUUAAUGAAUGCUUGACCUCAAAUCAGGUAGGACUACCCGCUGAACUUAAGCAUAUCAAUAAGCGGAGGGA